AAACUUACCUGACGGGGAAGACAACGUGAUCAUGAAGGCGUUUCUUCCAGGGUGAGGCCCAUUCAUUGCAGUCAAGUUGGGGUGACCCUGUGAUUACCCCAGAAAUGGGUAAUUCAACCGUACAAUUUCUGGUAGUGGGGUCCUGUGUUCGCGCUUGUCCCCU